rnacentral:rRNA from 1 species
GUGUCAGCAGCCGCGGUAAUACGUAGGUGACAAGCGUUAUCCGGAUUUAUUGGGCGUAAAGCGCACGCAGGCGGUCUAUCAAGUCUGACGUGAAAUCUCUCGGCUUAACCGGGAGCGGUCGUUGGAAACUGAUGGACUUGAGGCGAUGAGAGGGGUGUGGAAUUCCCGGUGUAGUGGUGGAAUGCGUAGAUAUCGGGAGGAACAUCAGUGGCGAAAGCGGCACCCUGGCAUUAGCCUGACGCUCAUGUGCGAAAGCGUGGGGAGCGAACGGGAUUAGAUACCCCUGUAGUCC